ensembl:snRNA U6 U6 spliceosomal RNA
GUUUUAGAGAGAGAGAGAAAGCACACAAGCAGGGAAUAAUACAGAGAAGAUUAGCAUGUCCUGCACCAGGAUGACAAGCAAAUUUAUGAAUCAUUCCAUAUUUUU